rnacentral:rRNA from 1 species
AGUGAACGCUGGCGGUAGGCCUAACACAUGCAAGUCGAACGGCAGCACAGUAAGAGCUUGCUCUUACGGGUGGCGAGUGGCGGACGGGUGAGGAAUACAUCGGAAUCUACUUUUUCGUGGGGGAUAACGUAGGGACACUUACGCUAAUCCCGCAUACGGCCUACGGGUGAAAGCAGGGGAUCUUCGGACCUUGCGCGAUUGAAUGAGCCGAUGUCGGAUUAGCUAGUUGGCGGGGUAAAGGCCCACCAAGGCGACGAUCCGUAGCUGGUCUGAGAGGAUGAUCAGCCACACUGGAACUGUGACACGGUCCAGACUCCUACGGGAGGCAGUAGUGGGGAAUAUUGGACAAUGGGCGCAAGCCUGAUCCAGCCAUACUGUGUGGGUGAAGAAGGCCUUCGGGUUGUAAAGCCCUUUUGUUGGGAAAGAAAAGCAGCAGGUUAAUACCCCGCUGUUCUGACGGUACCCAAAGAAUAAGCACCGGCUAACUUCGUG